CUUUAUUGAUCUCCAAGAGAAACCCACGAGCACUCCUUGUGACACCAGUCUAAAGCUGGACAUUAGUGUUGAGGUAAUAGCUUACAAACCUUUGAUGUGUAGGAAGCUGUGGAAGUAGGGAAGCGUGACGCAGCUGUAGACGGAAUCUCUGCGGUAGGACAGCUCGUCGUCCGUGUCAAACCUGUCAAAGUCCUCCUCGCUGUCCUCAAACUGACAAAGACAUAAAAAGACAGAAACCUUCUCAGUCAAGAGCUGCAUCAAACCUGUAAUUGUGGACGCACCGAGGACUGCGCCCCCUCUGAUCCAAAGCGGUACACGCCCGAGCUGUUGUAGGUUCCCAAGGAGCCGCGGUAGUCAGAAGACCACUGCUCACUGCGAGGGUUGGAGAAGGCCACGCUGCCGCUGGAAACGAUGGCACCUUCAUCGUAGUCGUCCUGGUCGUAGUCAGAGUCCUCGUCAGGAGGAAUGAGCUCCACCAGGUGGUCGGCCUGAGGGUCCUCCUUAACGGAGGGGACAAGGAGGCAGGCGGCGGGUGGCGGAAGUAGAGGGGGAGCCUGGAGGAGCACGGUGGUUGGCGGGAGAGGCGGGAUCACACCGUCGUUGGCGUACGGGUCCUCUUCGGAGGAGUCGUCGCUGGUACGGAUGCCACUGGUCCGCUGGCCGUCAGAGUGGCCAUGCUCACUCGGGUUGGGAGAGUCUUUGAAGGCCUCUUCAUCGGCACCAAAGCCUUCAUCCACUUCCUCUUCCUCCUUUUCUCGUCCUUCCACAGCCAGCGAGCUCUCGAUGUUCCUCACGCACUCGUCAAUCUCAUCAAAGUUGAGUGACUGCAAGAAGUGCUGCGCUGCCUUGCAGGCCUCCUCCUCCAGACGCUGCAACUCUUGGUCACGGAGGUCCUGGAGGCGCUGCAACGACGCCUCCGUCAAGGAGAGCUCUUGGCGCUCCUUCUGCAUCUGCAGAGACUGGAUCUCACGCUCCAGGCGAAGGAUCUCCUCCACCUGAGAUGCCUCGUGAGGGCGUAUGGCCUCCUCCAUGUCCAAGGCCUCUGCUGUCUCCUCCUGUUCCUUUAAAGAGUCUGGCGAGGUAGUGACAGCUGGGAGAGUCUGAGACUGAACCACAAGCAGAGUUGCCAGCUCCUCAGCUCGCUGCUGGUCUUCACACCUCCUGGAAGCCUAAAGGAGAUAAUGAGACUUGACAGCCUGCUGAAGUUCUCUGAGAUGUUAGUUUUUAGCAUGGUUGUCUUUGGUACCUCCUCUGCCAGCUGCUUCUCCUCCAGCGUCCGUCUCUCCCUGUGAAGACCAAACAGAAACAUUAGCUGACGGAAUGUUGUCCUGUCACCUCUUCUUCUCACUUACUGAGAAUCCUCUAGUCAGCAUGCCAAACAGUCCUCGCUGUGACCAGGCUAAGUCUUGACAUCCGUCAUACAACUACUUUUAUUCUGCAUGUAGUUUUUAUUUUUCUUCUGUUUUCAGCCUCCUGCGUCGCUCCUCUUCUUCCCUCCUCCUCCUCCUCUCGGCCAGCAGCUGGCUGAAGGCGCGGCGGGCCAGCUGUCCUCGUAGAACCUUCUGGACGGUGAGUGCUGCCCGCCGGAGCAGCAGGAACUUCCUCCUCAUGUAAAAAGCACGGUAGUUCUUCUGGAUGACCACAAUGCACUGCAGCAACCUCCUGUACUGCUUUCUGUGGACGACACAGCGAUCAAAAUGUGUUCAUUCAUUGUGCUGAAGUGAAGCUCAAGGUGGACUCCUACCUGACCAUGUAGCCCAUCAUGUGAGCUUGGAUGACCAUGGCUGCUUUCAGCACCUCCAUCUCACGCUGCUUCUCCAGAUGAUGUUCCAGAGACUCUCUGAGGAACACCUAGGCACAUUAAUAAACAUAUUGCUACAUUAAUACCUGGCCGACAGUCAGUGAACAUUAUUAUCUUCUUAAAGGCUGACUUUUGACACAUUUAAAGUCACAGUACAUCUUUUUUCCACACAUACAACACAAAAGACACGUGAAACAAAGCCAUCCAGAUUAAGUCCUUUUGUUGACAUCACACACGACCCAAACAAUGAUUGGGGCACGGUUCAGCUCAGUGCGCCAUUCAUCCAAUUUGGGGGUGGGGGUUAUCCUAUUAGGGAGAUACAGGACGUGGUCUCAGGAGAGUGAGACACAUGGGAAACAUUGUCUUUGCACGCUGCACGUGUGUCGCUGCUUAGGCGAUGGU